GACGAACGCUGGCGGCGUGGAUUAGGCAUGCAAGUCGGACGGUAGGACUUUAUCGUAAGAUAGAGUUUGAGAGUGGCGAACGGGUGAGUAAUACGUAGGAAUCUACCCUUAAGACGGGGACAACUCAGGAAACUUGGGCUAAUACCGGAUGCGAGUGUAUGAGAGUACAUUUAAAAGGAUGGUGAAAGCUAUCGCUUAGGGAUGAGCCUGCGGUCUAUUAGCUAGUUGGUGGGGUAAGAGCUCACCGAGGCGAUGAUAGAUAGGCGGCCUUAACGGGUGGUCGCCCACACUGGGAUUGAGAUACGGCCCAGACUCCUACGGGAGGCAGCAGUCGAGAAUAGUCUACAAUGGCCGGAAGGCUGAUAGUGCGACGCCGCGUGAACGAGGGAGCCCUUCGGGGUGUAAAGUUCUUUUCUAUACGAGCAGUGCUAUAUAUAUUCAAAGUAUAUAUAGAGGGAUAGUAGUAUAGGAAUAAGCAACGGCUAACUCCGUGCCAGCAGCCGCGGUAACACGGGGGUGCGAGCGUUGACCGGAAUUACUAGGCGUAAAGGGCAGGUAGGCGGAUCUACGAGUUUUUUGUUAAAGGCUACGGCUUAACUGUAGUAAGGCAGGAGAUACUGUAGGUCUGGAAUGCGGUAGGGGAAGACAGAAUUCCUGGUGUAGCGGUGGAAUGCGCAGAGAUCAGGAGGAAUACCGAAGGCGAAGGCAGUCUUCUAGGCCGUAAUUGACGCUUAACUGCGAAGGUGUGGGGAUCAAACAGGAUUAGAUACCCUGGUAGUCCACACAGUAAACGAUAAUCACUAGAUGUCGGAUUCUAGAUGGAUUCGGUGUCGGAGCUAACGCGAUAAGUGAUUCGCCUGGGGAGUACGAUCGCAAGGUUGAAACUCAAAGGAAUUGACGGGGGCCCGCACAAGCGGUGGAGCAUGUGGUUUAAUUCGAGGCAACGCGAAGAACCUUACCCGGUCUUGACAUCCGCGGGAGGCUUCAGAGAUGGAGCUGUGCCGGCGUAAGCUGGAGCCGUGAGACAGGUGCUGCAUGGCUGUCGUCAGCUCGUGUCGUGAGAUGUUCGGUUAAGUCCGCUAACGAGCGCAACCCUUGUUGUGUGUUACACGUAUCACGCAAGACCGCCGGUAGAAAGCCGGAGGAAGGUGGGGAUGACGUCAAGUCAGCAUGGCCUAUAUAUCCUGGGCUACACACACGCUACAAUGGUCGGUACAAUGGGUAGCUAAGCCGCGAGGCGGAGCCAAUCCUAAAAAGCCGGUCUCAGUUCAGAUUGCAGGCUGCAACUCGCCUGCAUGAAGAUGGAGUUGCUAGUAACCGCAGGUCAGCGAUACUGCGGUGAAUACGUUCCCGGGCCUUGUACACACCGCCCGUCACGUCAUGGGAGUUGGCAACACCUGAAGCCGGUAUCCUAACCGAAAGGGGGGAGCCGUCAAAGGUGGGGUUGAUAACUGGGACG
rnacentral:rRNA from 1 species